rnacentral:misc_RNA from 1 species
AACUGAUACUACCUGCGGGAACCUGCGGAGGGAUCAUUACCGAGUUUACAACUCCCAAACCCAAUGUGAACGUUACCAAACUGUUGCCUCGGCGGGAUCUCUGCCCCGGGUGCGUCGCAGCCCCGGACCAAGGCGCCCGCCGGAGGACCAACCAAAACUCUUUUGUAUACCCCCUCGCGGGUUUUUUAUAUCUGAGCCAUCUCGGCGCCUCUCGUAGGCGUUUCGAAAAUGAAUCAAAAC